CAAAACCUAUGUAGUUAUAUAAGUUGCCCACUGGUAAUCUCAGUGUUUAAUAGAACAUUUAUGAAACACGGAAGAAAAUGGCAAAUGUCCAACAAGUUCCAAAAUGGAACAUGGAACUCUAGAUCAGCAUUCUGAAGCACCAAACGAGGCAAUGAUGCCAAGGACAAUGUGUUAGGGCUCUCCAGAGAAACAAAACCAACAGGAGAGAGAGAGACAGAAAUAGAGAGAGAAAGGGAGAGAUUUAUUAUGAAGAACUAGGUCAUGUCAUUACAGGGGCUGGGAAGUUCCACAGUCCACCAUCGGCCAGCUAGAGACCCAGGAUUACCUGUUGUGUAGCUCCAGUCUGAGCUAGAGGCCUGAGAACCGGCAGAAUUGAUGGUGUAAGUCCCAGUCCAAGUACAGGAGAAGACCGAUGUCCUGGCUUGACAGCAGUCAGGCAGAGAGAACAAUGCUCCCUUACCCCACCUUUUGUCCUAUUCAGGCCUCAGUGGCUUCGAGGAGGCCCACCCACUCUGGGGAGGGACAACUGCCUUGCUCAGUCUACAGAUUCACGUGUUAAUCUCAUCCAGAAAGACCCUCACAGACACACCUAGAAUAACGUUUGACCUAACAUCUGGGCACCUAAUGGCUCAGUCAAGUUGACACUUAAAAUUAACCAUCACAGACAAUAAAAGAGCCUUUUUAAACAUCAAGAAGAGGAGAGGGACAGACUCAUGCUUGGUGGCACGGUGACGACCAGUAUGCGAUAGGAAGGGAGACAGAUCUGGGGCAGGCAGAGAGGGCUGAAGCUGGAGUCUCCCCUGGGUUCCCAACUACUGACAGGACCAUGCCUUUUGAUUUCCUGCCUGAUUCCAUCUUUGGAGCACCUGGGGCUUUGGGGCCAUUGUGAGUAGACAUUCAGCUGAGAAGCUGAGACCCUAGAGAAUA
rnacentral:lncRNA from 1 species